ensembl:lncRNA
ACCUCUUCAUCUGAUAAACCAGCGUUCCUGAAGAGGAGCUCGAUCUGAAGGAACUCGUGAGAACCGCCUGUUUCAGCUAACGCGCCGCGGCGGCUCGCUAACGGCCUCCGCGAGGUCAAGCGGUCGUCAUGAUGACAACCCGAUCUGCAGCACAUGACCAGCAGCCGACCAAGGGGGCCUCACGAGGAGAAUCCACUUGGAUUCCACGCUUGGUUUCACACGAAGGUUCCAGCUCGUUGUCUUUUAAGUUGAUCUCACCCACGUUGCCUCAUCCAGUCGCUGCAGGAACUGAACCGAUAACGACACACACGGGUCCCGUUUGUGCAUCCAGCGUUACACAACAUGACCACACGAGCGACUGCGUGCACACCUUAACUCACCUCAUGAGUGCGUCAUCUGUCGAUCUCGGCACUCUGCAGCCCUUUUUUGUUCCGCAUUUCUAAGUGUUUGAGACGGUUUGGGAAUUUUAGUGUCUUAAUACAACUGUGACUUGGUCCCACCUCCAAAACAAAGAUAAGACAGCAGAUAGACGGGGGAACUUUUUCCACCCGUCAUAAGAACAAACACAACCUAUUUGUGUAUCUGGAUGAUUCUGCUCAUGCCCGACACCCGAAGCGGUUCAGGAAUCGGGGGGUGGAUCCACGGGGAGGAGAAGAAAUAUUCAAAACUUCGAAAAAGAGCAACCUGACAAUGGGGCCAGGAGAAAGAAAGUUGGUUAGAUCAGACAUUUGCACAAAGGAUGGUAAUGGCGACAAACCAACACGGAGACAAGGGGACAAUUACAGUGGAGGGGAAACAGGAAGUCACGUGAACGCGGGAUGGAGAAGCAGAACAGAACAAAAACUCAACAAAAACCAAGAUUGUGACCGUAGUUAUUCUAUGCAGGACUUAUAUAGAUAUAGAAGCAUAGAGGGAUCCCUACAAGAUACACCCGAUCACAAAUGGGGUUUUCUUUUCUUAUGUAAAUCUCCCCGUUUCAGUGUGCGGUGACCUGCGGUGACCCCCGGUGGGGGAGGUAGUGGGGGAGGGCGUUGGACACAAACAGAUCCACCGCUCUGUAUGAGAAGGGACACCGAUGGCAGUAAAACAGCAGGC